rnacentral:rRNA from 1 species
UACGUAGGCAGCGAGCGUUGUUCGGAGUUACUGGGCGUAAAGGGUGUGUAGGCGGUUGUUUAAGUUUGGGGUGAAAUCUCCCGGCUCAACUGGGAGGGUGCGCCGAAUACUGAAUGACUCGAGUGCGGGAGAGGAGAGUGGAAUUCCUGGUGUAGCGGUGAAAUGCGUAGAUAUCAGGAGGAACACCGGUGGUGUAGACGGCUCUCUGGACCGUAACUGACGCUGAGACACGAAAGCGUGGGUAGCAAACAGG